AUAACAGUAAGGUAGAUCCUUAUCUGUUAUGCUAUCUGUAGUGUAUCAGAUGACACAUGAUAAAUGGACUCCGAUGUGAUUAUCUCCAUUUUACAGAGAACAGCAACAACACUCUGUUAGACCCAUUCUGAU
ensembl:snoRNA U8 U8 small nucleolar RNA